rnacentral:rRNA from 1 species
CCUACGUGAGGCAGCAGUGGGGAAUAUUGCACAAUGGGCGAAAGCCUGAUGCAGCAACGCCGCGUGAAGGAAGAAGGGUUUCGGCUCGUAAACUUCUAUCAACAGGGACGAAAGAAAUGACGGUACCUGAAUAAGAAGCCCCGGCUAACUACGUGCCAGCAGCCGCGGUAAUACGUAGGGGGCAAGCGUUAUCCGGAAUUACUGGGUGUAAAGGGUGAGUAGGCGGCAUGGUAAGCCAGAUGUGAAAGCCUUGGGCUUAACCCGAGGAUUGCAUUUGGAACUGUUUUUCUUGAGUGCUGGAGAGGCAAUCGGAAUUCCGUGUGUAGCGGUGAAAUGCGUAGAUAUACGGAGGAACACCAGUGGCGAAGGCGGAUUGCUGGACAGUAACUGACGCUGAGGCGCGAAAGCGUGGGGAGCAAACAGGAUUAGAUACCCGAGUAGUC